ensembl:lncRNA FAM30A family with sequence similarity 30 member A
GGGGCCACUGCCUCCACCUUUGACCAGCUCUGCUGUGGGGAUCUGGGCAUGAGACCCCUUCACCCAGGAGGGGAGCCGCAGCCUGGAGACACAGGCCCCAUCCUUCCCAAUGGGGACACUUCAGGGAGCGGCUCUCAGGUCCCGAGAAAGACCUUCCUGGCCACAGGAGACACACGGACAUCGGGAACGGACGGAGGAAGGAUGUGCAGUUGCAGCCUUUUCAGCAGACGCCCUGAGAACGGGAGGUCAAGAGUUGGAGCAGACGGGCCUCAGACCUAAGGCAGGAGCACCCCCUAUGCCAGACCUCCUGGGUCACAGGAUAUGCACGGACAUUGGGAAGGGAUGGAGGAUGGACGGAGGAAGGACGUGCAGUUGCAGCUCUUUCUGCAGAUGCCCUGAGAGAGGAGCAAGAAGGUCCUCGCCAGAUGCUCCUGGACUUGCUUUGGACUUUCCCUUGCUCUUGGACUUGCUCUGGCACCUGUGCUCUUGGACUUCACAGCCUCUAGAACUGUGAGAAAUAAAUUUCCGUUCAG